rnacentral:lncRNA from 1 species
AGGUAUCUGAGGUCAGCCCUGUUUUAGGGUUCCAAGUAAAAUAUGAUUUUGUUUCCACUGAUGUCUCAAUUGGUGAAAAAGCAGAACUGAAGGGUAACAUAAUAGCUAAUGAUUUCAAGUUAGAAUUAGAUGUUAAACCUGAGAUGGUGCUGCUAUUGUCAAGCAGUAGUGUCCCUGAUGAUGCAAAAUUGCAUCCUAUGGAUUUAGAAGAACCACAUGACAAGGAAGUAUCUACAGAAGAACAAGGCAAGGAAAAUGAUAAAUAUCCUGAAGUUAGUGUUGUGCAAACCAGUGAUCCUGUCAGUGUGAGUGUAGAGUCUGCCACAGCUUUAAGCGGACAAGACUCGCAAAAACAUGAAAUCCAGAAUGAGAGCGGGGAUCUAAAAGAGCAGCAGGAGAAUCACAUUUCAAAUUCUUCACUGGAUGAGGCAAAGGUCAGUUCAUCCAAUCUGGAAACUCUGGUAUCUGAGCUCAGCCCUAUUUUAGGGUUUCAAGUAAAAUCUGAUUUUGUCUCAAUUGAUGAAAAAAUAGAACUGAAGGAUAACAUAAUAGCUAAUGAUGUCAAGUUAGAAUUAGAUGUUAAACCUGAGAUGGUGCAGCUAUUGUUGAGCAGUGAUGUUCCUGAUGAUGCAAAAUUGCAUCCUAUGGAUGUAGAAGAACCACAUGACAAGAAAGUAUCUACAGAAGAACCAGGCAACAAAAAUGAUAAAUAUGUUGAUAUAAUG